GAUGAACGCUGACAGAAUGCUUAACACAUGCAAGUCUUUGGCGAAGCUGUGCUCGCCCAGCCUAGCCAAGGCGGACGGGUGAGUAACGCGUAAGGAACUUGCCCUGCAGUCAGGGAUAACAGACGGAAACGACUGAUAAGACCUGGUAAAGUCAGGCGGACUCAUGUCCAGCCUGAUGAAAAGAGAUGCUGCAGGAGAGCCUUGCGUCCUAUUAGCUUGUUGGUGGGGUAACGGCCCACCAAGGCGAUGAUAGGUAGCCGGCCUGAGAGGGUGGACGGCCACAAGGGGAAUGAGAUACGGCCCUUACUCCUACGGGAGGCAGCAGUGGGGAAUAUUGGACAAUGGGGGCAACCCUGAUCCAGCAAUUCUGUGUGCACGAUGAAGGUUUUCGGAUGGUAAAGUGCUUUCAGCAGGGAAGAAAAAAAUGACGGUACCUGCAGAAGAAGCGACGGCUAAAUACGUG
rnacentral:rRNA from 1 species